GACGAACGCUGGCGGCGCGCCUAACACAUGCAAGUCGAGCGAUGAAAUUUUAACCGAUCUCUUCGGAGAGAAGAUAAAAUGGAUUAGCGGCGGCCGGGUGAGUAACACGUGAGAAACCUGCCUUUCACAAGGGGAUAGCCUCGGGAAACCGGGAUUAAUACCCCAUGACACAUUUACUUCGCAUGGAAGAAAUGUUAAAACUCCGGUGGGGAAAGAUGGUCUCGCGCCUGAUUAGCUAGUUGGUGGGGUAACGGCCCACCAAGGCCAUGAUCAGUAACCGGCCUGAGAGGGUGAACGGUCACAUUGGAACUGAGACACGGUCCAGACUCCUACGGGAGGCAGCAGUGGGGAAUAUUGCACAAUGGAGGAAACUCUGAUGCAGCGACGCCGCGUGAGCGAUGAAGGCUUUCGAGUCGUAAAGCUCUGUCCUAUGGGAAGAUAAUGACGGUACCAUAGGAGGAAGCCCCGGCUAACUACGUG
rnacentral:rRNA from 1 species